rnacentral:rRNA from 1 species
AGGACGAACGGCUGGCGGCGUGCCUAACACAUGCAAGUCGAGCGGGGACUUGUUGAGGAAGUCUUCGGAUGGAAUCGAUAAGUUCUAGCGGCGGACGGGUGAGUAACGCGUGAGCAACCUGCCCUCCACAGGGGGAUAACGCACCGAAAGGUGCACUAAUACCGCAUAAGACCACGUUUCUGACAUGGGAAUGAGGUCAAAGGAGCAAUCCGGUGGAAGAUGGGCUCGCGUCUGAUUAGCUAGUUGGUGAGGUAACGGCCCACCAAGGCGACGAUCAGUAGCCGACCUGAGAGGGUGAUCGGCCACAUUGGAACUGAGAGACGGUCCAAACUCCUACGGGAGGCAGCAGUGGGGAAUAUUGGGCAAUGGGCGAAAGCCUGACCCAGCAACGCCGCGUGAAGGAAGAAGGUUUUCGGAUCGUAAACUUCUAUCCUUGGUGAAGAUAAUGACGGUAGCCAAGAAGGAAGCCCCGGCUAACUACGUGCC